rnacentral:sRNA from 1 species
AUGGCUUGCCUUGGAUUUCAGCGGCACAAGGCUCAGCUGAACCUGGCUACCAGGACCUGGCCCUGCACUCUCCUGUUUUUUCUUCUCUUCAUCCCUGUCUUCUGCAAAGCUAAAGAAAAGAAGCCCUCUUACAACAGGGGUCUAUGUGAAAAUGCCCCCAACAGAGCCAGAAUGUGAAAAGCAAUUUCAGCCUUAUUUUAUUCCCAUCAAUUGA